UUGUCUUUUGUUCUGAAAAUGGGGAUAGAGUUUUUUGUUGCUAUAUUCCACACUGUUUAAAUUUAACUCAAAUUUAUUUUGGAUAUGCGUAAGGAGGAGCAUAUUAAUUGCGAUCUCUUUUUAAGUAUAUUUUUUAUGUGUAUUAGGUUUUCAUAACUCGGAGAAUCUUUAUUUGUUGAGUGGUCUUUUUCCAUGAGAUACAGUUCAAAGCUUAAGCAGGAGGCUAUUAAACUGCAACAAAUCUCAAUCACGCGAAGUACGACGUGGAUUUUUAAGAAUGUCGAUGUGUUUUUAAGAAUUCGAGGAUUAUUUUUCUUUAAAAGUACUGUCCUCUUGGGAAAUUUGUUUCGUUUAUUUAUUGAAGUGAUGAAUUAUUAAACUACAUUCAUUUAACGAAAAAAAUCAGAAGUUAACUGCCGUAAAUAUGAAUCAGCAAAGUGAUUCUGUGGAUAUUUUUGGGGAGUAUAAACCUGUGAAACUAAUUUUUGCCAUUCAACCCAUGAAGGAUGGAUUUGUUCCUUUUUCCAAUAUUAAUGGCUGCGCAAAAAUAUUCGAAGUUCCUUAAGCAUAUAGCAAAUAUAUUUCUUUUGGAAAGCACUUGGAAUUACUUAGUCGCUGGAAGAAAUCAGGCGAAAAAAUCAAACAUCUGCAAGAACAGAUAAAUCAAGCAAAGCCCACUGUUGCAUUUCAGUUUAUAGAGGUCUUUGAAUUACAUUGAAAAAGAAACUAGUCUAUUUGAUUUGAAGUCUGAAAAAUUAUCAAGUCCCCCUUUUAAAUAUUCCAGACUAGUCACUGGAGCAAUUCCAUCCCAGAUGCCAAAUUGUGUUUCUUAUAUGUCAUCUUCAGCAUUUCACAGGCAAAAUCUUGAAACAAAAAAGAUGAAAUUAGAGCAACAAUAUAUAGAAAAAGCUCUCCAGAAAAGCAUAACAGAAAAAAAUGAUGAUGAUGAGACAGGAGAUUUCAAUCUUGAAGAACUAAAGCAGAACAUUUCGUUAGUAAAUUUGAAAAAAUUCUGGAAUACCAUUUAUAUAAAAACAAAAUUUUAUUUGUGAACAUUGAAUUAAGUUCUGGUCUUGAAAUCGCAUUAUCUGUUAAAUGAUUUAUUAGAGGUGUCGACUUUCGUUGUAAAAACAAGCCUGUCAAAUUCCAAAUAUUUCUUCUUUACCAAUAAAAGUCAACAAAAUCAAUAAUUUAAAUGAAAUAUUAGAGUAUCUUCCAGAAAUGAAGACAAAUAAUUUAUUGCUGAAUUCAGAUAUUAUUUCCCAGUUUCAUGGUUUCAUGGAUAAUUCUAAUAUAACCAAAGAAAAUUUAACCAAUGUUAUCAUAUUUAUUAAAUAGCAACUUGUCUUGGUUAUUCAAAUGAGCACUAUAAAAGGACUCCACUGAAAUGAAUGACACAGUGUACUGACCUUUUGGGAAAUUUGUUUCCUUUAUUUAUUGAAGUGAUGAAUUAUGAAACUACAUUCAUUUAAUGAAAAAAUUAAAUGAUGUCCAGUGUCUCCAGGAACCCUAUGCAAGAUGAUGCAGAAAUUUGAAAAAACUGGGCAACUUGGCAUUCUUCCAGGUAGAGGACGAAA